rfam:Takifugu rubripes genomic scaffold, scaffold_3216
GGGGGUAUAGCUCAGUGGUAGAGCAUUUGACUGCAAAUAAAGAGAUCUCUGGUUCCAAGUCCAGAUACCCCCU